CCGAUCCUCACCUGUGGUCAUGAACUUUGGGUAAUGACUGAAAGAACAAGAUCGCAGAUACAAGCGGCUGAAAUGGGUUUCCUCCUCAGGGUGUCCGGGCUCAGCCUUAGAGAUAGGGUAAGGAGCUCGGACACUCGGGAGGCGCUCAGAGGAGAACCGCUGCUCCUCCACGUCCAGAGGAGUCAGCUGAGGUGGCUCGGGCAUCUGGUUAGGACGCCUUCUGGACGCCUCCCGUAAGAGGAGACCUCGUGGCCGGCCCAGGACCAGGUGGAGGGAUUAUAUCUCU